CCUACGGGGGGCAGCAGUGGGGAAUAUUGGACAAUGGGGGGAACCCUGAUCCAGCCAUGCCGCGUGUGUGAAGAAGGCCCUCGGGUUGUAAAGCACUUUCAGUGAGGAAGAACGCCUGGUGGUUAAUACCCAUCAGGAAAGACAUCACUCACAGAAGAAGCACCGGCUAACUCCGUGCCAGCAGCCGCGGUAAUACGGAGGGUGCGAGCGUUAAUCGGAAUUACUGGGCGUAAAGCGCGCGUAGGUGGCUUGAUAAGCCGGUUGUGAAAGCCCCGGGCUCAACCUGGGAACGGCAUCCGGAACUGUCAAGCUAGAGUGCAGGAGAGGAAGGUAGAAUUCCCGGUGUAGCGGUGAAAUGCGUAGAGAUCGGGAGGAAUACCAGUGGCGAAGGCGGCCUUCUGGACUGACACUGACACUGAGGUGCGAAAGCGUGGGUAGCAAACAGGAUUAGAUACCUCGGUAGUC
rnacentral:rRNA from 1 species